GGGCCCGCACAAGCGGAGGAACAUGUGGUUUAAUUCGAUGAUACGCGAGGGACCUUACCCGGGCUCAAACGGUGGCGGGAUUUCCGUGAAAGCGGGGAGCCGGCAACGGCCGCCACCGAGGUGCUGCAUGGUUGUCGUCAGCUCGUGCCGUGAGGUGUCGGCUUAAGUGCCAUAACGAGCGCAACCCCCAUCUUCAGUUGCUAACGGGUAGAGCCGAGGACUCUGGAGAGACUGCCGGCGCAAGCUGCGAGGAAGGCGGGGAUGACGUCAAAUCAGCACGGCCCUUACGUCCGGGGCGACACACGUGUUACAAUGGCGGGGGACAGAAGGAAGCGAGGCGGCGACGCCGAGCGGACCCGAGAAAACCCGUCUCAGUUCGGAUUGGAGUCUGCAACCCGACUCCAUGAAGCUGGAUUCGCUAGUAAUCGCGCAUCAGCCAUGGCGCGGUGAAUACGUUCCCGGGCCUU
rnacentral:rRNA from 1 species